UACGUAGGGGGCUAGCGUUGUCCGGAUUGACUGGGCGUAAAGCGCACGCAGGCGGUGGUGCGCGUGGGGUGUGAAAUCUGGCCGCUUAACGGCCAGGCGCCAUCCCAUACGGCACGACUGGAGGGCUGCAGAGGUCGAUGGAAUUGCCGGUGUAGUGGUGAAAUGCGUAGAGAUCGGCAGGAACACCCAGGGGGAAACCAGUCGACUGGGCAGCACCUGACGCUGAGGUGCGAGAGCGUGGGGAGCGAACCGG
rnacentral:rRNA from 1 species